rfam:Arabis alpina cultivar Pajares scaff_64776_1_contig_0, whole genome shotgun sequence.
GUCUUUUCGGGGACGUACAAUAAUAUUGGAACAAUACAAAGAAAACUAACAUGAUCUCUGCAUAAAAAUGCCACAACAAACUGAAAUAUCGAAAACCUGUUU